rnacentral:rRNA from 1 species
UACGAAGGGGGCUAGCGUUGUUCGGAAUGACUGGGCGUAAAGGGCGCGUAGGCGGCCGCUUGCGUCGGAUGUGAAAGCCCGGGGCUCAACCCCGGAACGGCAUCCGAUACGGAGCGGCUCGAGACCGAGAGAGGUGAGUGGAAUACCCAGUGUAGAGGUGAAAUUCGUAGAUAUUGGGUGGAACACCGGUGGCGAAGGCGGGUCUC